CAGUUUUGGCGGAGCCAUCCUUGGGAUACCACCCUUGUAGUACUGGGACUCUAACCAUAGGCCAUGAAUCUGGUCUUGGGACACUGUCAGGUGGGCAGUUUGACUGGGGCGGUCGCCUCCCAAAAGGUAACGGAGGCGCUCAAAGGUUCUCUCAGUACGGUCGGAAAUCGUACGUAGAGUGUAAAGGCAAAAGAGAGCUUGAUUGCAAGACAUACAGGUCGAGCAAGGAUGAAAAUCGGACUUAGUGAUCCGGUGGUUCUGCGUGGAAGGGCCAUCGCUCAACGGAUAAAAGCUACCCUGGGGAUAACAGGCUUAUCUCCCCCAAGAGUCCACAUCGACGGGGAGGUUUGGCACCUCGAUGUCGGCUCAUCACAUCCUGGGGCU
rnacentral:rRNA from 1 species